rnacentral:rRNA from 1 species
AGCAGCCGCGGUAAUUCCAGCUCCAAUAGCGUAUAUUAAAGUUGUUGCAGUUAAAAAGCUCGUAGUUGAAUUUCGGGAUUCGUAGAUUGGUCAUGCCACGGGUAUGUACUGGUCUUACUGAUUCCUCCUUCCUGAUGAACCGUAAUGCCAUUAAUUUUGGUGUUGCGGGGGAGACUGGACUGUUACUUUGAAAAAAUUAGAGUGUUUAAAGCAGGCUUACGCUUGAAUACAUUAGCAUGGAAUAAUGAAAUAGGACGUUCGAUCCUAUUUUGUUGGUUUCUAGGAUUGACGUAAUGAUUAAUAGGGAUAGUUGGGGGGCAU